GACGAACGCUGGCGGCGUGCUUAACACAUGCAAGUCGAACGGAAAGGCCCUGCUUUUGUGGGGUGCUCGAGUGGCGAACGGGUGAGUAACACGUGAGUAACCUGCCCUUGACUUUGGGAUAACUUCAGGAAACUGGGGCUAAUACCGGAUAGGAGCUUCUUCUGCAUGGUGGUGGUUGGAAAGUUUCGGCGGUUGGGGAUGGACUCGCGGCUUAUCAGCUUGUUGGUGGGGUAGUGGCUUACCAAGGCUUUGACGGGUAGCCGGCCUGAGAGGGUGACCGGCCACAUUGGGACUGAGAUACGGCCCAGACUCCUACGGGAGGCAGCAGUGGGGAAUAUUGCACAAUGGGCGGAAGCCUGAUGCAGCAACGCCGCGUGCGGGAUGACGGCCUUCGGGUUGUAAACCGCUUUCGCCUGUGACGAAGCGUGAGUGACGGUAAUGGGUAAAGAAGCACCGGCUAACUACGUG
rnacentral:rRNA from 1 species